AAACAAGGCCUGAAUAUUCUAAAGUCACCAAAUCUUAUCUGAUCUUGCAAGCUAAAAAGUGUCAUCUCUGGUUAGUAAAUGUAUAGGAGACUGCCAGCAAAUAGCAAAUGUUGUGGGUU
rnacentral:rRNA from 11 species